rnacentral:rRNA from 1 species
GACGAACGCUGGCGGCGUGCCUAAUACAUGCAAGUAGAACGCACAGUUUAUACCGUAGCUUGCUACACCAUAAACUGUGAGUUGCGAACGGGUGAGUAACGCGUAGGUAACCUGCCUGGUAGCGGGGGAUAACUAUUGGAAACGAUAGCUAAUACCGCAUAAUAUUAAUUAUUGCAUGAUAAUUGAUUGAAAGAUGCAAUUGCAUCACUACCAGAUGGACCUGCGUUGUAUUAGCUAGUAGGUGAGGUAACGGCUCACCUAGGCGACGAUACAUAGCCGACCGGAGAGGGUGAUCGGCCACACUGGGACGGUGACAGGGCCCAGACGCCUACGGGAGGCAGCAGUAGGGAAUCUUGGGCAAGGGGCGAAAGUCUGAGCGAGCAACGCCGCGGGAGGGAAGAAGGUUUUCGGAUCGUAAAGCUCGGUUGUAAGGGAAGAACGGGUGUGAGAGUGGAAAGUUCACACUGUGACGGUAACUGACCAGAAAGGGACGGCUAACUACGUG